CUCACCUGUGUUUCAUGUGUGGCUCCCCUGUGGUUCAUGUGUGGUUCAAGCAUCGAACAUGUGUGUUUCAGAUGUGGUUCAAGGGUGUCUCGCAUGUGGUUCAUGCACGGCUCACACAUGGAUUGGGCGUGAUUCAGGCGUGGCUCACACACGACUAGUGUGUGUCCCAGAUGGUAGAGGACACUUUCACACGUGGUUCCAGCCUAGCUCAGCCAUGGCUCACAAGUGAUGCAGGCGUGCCACUGAACUGGCUCACCUGUGGCUGACACAUGAUUCAGGCUUUUGUCACGCAUGGCUCCCACAUGGCUAAGGUGUGGCUCAUGCAUGGCUGAGGUGUUGGUGAGGCAUGGCUCACAUGUGUUUGUCUCAUGGUGGGCAUGUGGGACAGGCAUGGCGGGCACGUUGUGCCAGUGUGGCGACGCAUGCUUCAAGUGAGGCUGACAUGUGGUUCAAGUGAGACUGGCAUUUAGUUCAGGCCUGGAUGGCAUGUGACUUCGGCACGGCUGAGAACUGACUCAGGCGUGGCUCACACGUUAUUCAGGCGAGGCUGACACAUGACACAGGUGAGGUGGCUGAAGGACACAGGAGUGCCUGACACGUCACACAGUUGUGGUUCACACACGGUUCAUGCAUGGCCUUCAUGUGUUUCAGGCAUUGCUGGUGCACGGUUCACGCAUGGGUGGCCAGUGGUUCAGGCGAGGCUGACAUGUGACUCAGGCAUGUGUGAAACAGGACUCCGGUGUGGCAGACACAUGUGUCAGUCUUGGCUGACACAUGACUCAGGCAUUCAUCCCCCAGUAUCCAUGUGUGACAGAAACGUGAUCACGCAAGGAGUUACAUGCCAUACAUGGGUGGCUCCCAUGGUUUCACAGGUGGUUCAGAUGUGCUUCAAGGGUGUCUCACAUGUGGUUCACGCAUGGCUCACACAUGGUUUGGGUGUAAUUCAGGCGUGGCUUACACAUGACUCGUUUGGGUGACAUAUGGUAUGGGACACGUUCACACGUGGUUCAGGCAGAGCUCAGCCAUGGCUCACACGUGAUGCAGGCGUGCCACAGGACUGGCUCGCAUUUGGCUGACACAUGAUUCAGGCAUAUGUCAUGCAUGGCUCACACAUGGCUCAGGUGUGGCACAUGCAUGCCUGUGGUGUUGCUCAAGCCUGACUCACAUGUGUUUGUGGCAUAUUUAUCACGUGGUUCAGGCAUGGCAGGCAAGUUGUGCCAGUGUGGCUGACACGUGCUUCAAGUGAGGCUCACCUGUGGUUCAAAUGUGACUGGCACUUGGUUGAGACCCGGCUGGCAUGUGACUUCGGCACGGCUGAGCCGUGACUCAGGUGUGGCUCAAAAGUUAUGCAGGCGUGGCUGACACGUGACUCAGGUGAGGGGGCCAUGUGACACAGGCUUGCAUCAUGGGUCACACAGGUGUGGUUCACACAUGGUUCCUGC
rnacentral:lncRNA from 1 species